UGCCUACGGGAGGCAGCAGUGGGGGAUAUUGCACAAUGGGGGAAACCCUGAUGCAGCGACGCCGCGUGAGUGAAGAAGCAUUUCGGUGUGUAAAGCUCUAUCAGCAGGGAAGAAGAAAUGACGGUACCUGACUAAGAAGCCCCGGCUAACUACGUGCCAGCAGCCGCGGUAAUACGUAUGGGGCAAGCGUUAUCCGGAUUUACUGGGUGUAAAGGGAGCGUAGGCGGCCUGGCAAGCCUGAUGUGAAAUACCGGGGCCCAACCCCGGGGCUGCAUUGGGAACUGCC
rnacentral:rRNA from 1 species